rnacentral:rRNA from 1 species
GACGUAGGGCGCGAGCGUUGUCCGGAUUUAUUGGGCGUAAAGAGCUCGUAGGCGGCUUGUCGCGUCGGCUGUGAAAACCCGCGGCUCAACUGCGGGCCUGCAGCCGAUACGGGCAGGCUAGAGUUCGGUAGGGGAGACUGGAAUUCCUGGUGUAGCGGUGAAAUGCGUAGAUAUGUCACAGAACACCGAUCGCGAAGGCAGCUAACGAAACUAUCAUUGACGCUGAUGCACGAAAGCGUGGGGAGCAAACAGG